CAGCAGCCGCGGUAAUACGGAGGAUCCAAGCGUUAUCCGGAUUUAUUGGGUUUAAAGGGUGCGCAGGCGGAAGAUUAAGUCGGCGGUGAAAUUUUGCAGCUCAACUGUAAAAGUGCUAUCGAUACUGGUUUUCUUGAGUGUGGAUGAAGUAGGCGGAAUUUGUGGUGUAGCGGUGAAAUGCAUAGAUAUCACGAGGAACUCCGAUUGCGCAGGCAGCUUACUAGGCCAUAACUGACGCUCAGGCACGAAGGCGUGGGGAUCAAACAGGAUUAGAUACCCUGGUAGUCCACGCAGUAAACGAUGAUUACUCGCUGUUUGCGAUACACAGUAAGCGGCUUAGCGAAAGCGUUAAGUAAUCCACCUGGGGAGUACGUUCGCAAGAAUGAAACUCAAAGGAAUUGACGG
rnacentral:rRNA from 1 species